ACAACUUCCAACGGUGGAUCUCUUGGCUCGUGCAU
rnacentral:rRNA from 1 species